UACGUAGGGGGCAAGCGUUGUCCGGAAUUACUGGGCGUAAAGCGUGUGUAGGCGGCCGCGCAAGUCGGAUGUGAAAGCCCUGGGCUCAACUCAGGAAGUGCACCCGAUACUGCGUGGCUCGAGUACCGGAGAGGUUGGUGGAAUUCUCGGUGUAGAGGUGAAAUUCGUAGAUAUCGAGAGGAACACCUGUGGCGAAGGCGGCCAACUGGACGAGUACUGACGCUGAGACACGAAAGCGUGGGGAGCAAACAGG
rnacentral:rRNA from 1 species